CAAUCCCAUCAGCAACCAGACUCAACAUCUGGACAUCACUCAACUCUGUCAGACAUGUGCAGAACUCUACCAGAAAUCACAAACUGUACUGCUUACUGUACUGCUACCACUUGUUUUAGUGGUGGUCAUGAUUGCACUAGGUGUGAUCUGUUUCACAAUUAAGUCCAGAUGUGCAAGAAGAGGAGCUCUCUGAUGGAGCGGAUAAACAUUGUGCACUCAAAUGAUCUGACAAUCUAACAGACUUCAGUAGCUAUAUGACAGAUCUCUGAUACAUAUGAUGCUGUGUCUCAGCACUCCAAGAUUAUGAACAAAGUAAUUAUAUAAACAAAACUUGGUAUAGCAUGAUCAUGAUUUUAAUGCCAUUUGGAUAAAAACUGUGAAAAAGCUUGUGACUGCAUUGAAUUAAUGUGCAUUAUGUAUAAGAAGCAUUGAUUAAAAAAAGGUACAAGAGUAAUUGUUGUAUAUAGCAAGUGUUACGCUUUUUGUUGCUGGAUCCUGAUAUUUUUUUUUUUUUUGCUUUUACAUUUCUAUAAUAACAUUAUGUGGUCCCUUUUCUUUGACUGGAUGGCAAUUUUUUAUCUGUUUUAACGGAAUCAUUUAAUCAUAUCUCUACUGAGGCCAUUACAGACAGAUAUCAGGACAAAGAGCCACAUUUUGUCAGAAACUGUCAAAUUCAUUUUCCUAUUAUUAUCCUGCCCAGACUUGAGAAAGAGCUGAUCCGUCUUUUAACAACAGAGCUGCCAACAAAACCAAACACUACAGGUUUAGACUUGUGACUGUCUUGUAAAAGAACAAAUUAAUUUGUAUUACAGUGUUAAAGGGAUAGUUCACCCAAAAAUGAAAAAAAAUUAUGUUUAUCUGCUUACCCCCAGGGCAUCCAAGAUGUAGGUGACUUUGUUUCUUCAGUA